UACACACUUUGCAAUUGGAAGGAAAAUUACAUUCUUCAGUCAGAUUGAAAAUCAAUGACAUCGCUGGUCACAAUCCCCAGGGAGUUUCUCAAGGAGAAAAGACAGUCUUAAGAAUUCCACAAGAAGAAAUUGGAACAUCGUGCAUUAUUAGUGGGAUUAUAAAAUGGUGAUACUUCUGUGGAAAAUAGUAUGGAAAUUCUUCAAAAAAUUAAAAAUAAAACUAUCAUAUAAUCCAGCCAUCCCACUUCUGGGCAUAUAGCCAAAAGAAUUAAAAGCAGUCUUGAAGUGAUAUUUUAACACCCAUGCUCAUCAGAACAUUCGUCACAAUAGCCAAGACAUGGAAGCAACGUAAACAUCCACAGAUGGACAAAUGGAUUAACAAAUGUGAUUUAUUCAUGCAAUGGAAUAUUAUUCACCCUUUAGAAGAAAGGGAAGUCUUGCAUAUGCUACAAUGUGGGAGAACCUUGAGGAUAUUAUGCUAAAUGAAAUAAGUCAGUCACAAAAAGACAAAUACUGUUUGAUUCCAUUUAUAUGAAGUGUCUAAAGUAGUCAAAUUUAUAGAAACCGAAAGUAGAAUGGUGGUUACCGGGACUGGUGGGAGGCAGAGAGGGGUGUUGCUUAAUGGGUAUGGAAUUUCAGCUUCUGCAAGAUGAAAAAGUUCUGGAGAUCUAUUUCACAACAGUAUGAAUAUACUUAACAAGCCUGAAAUCACUUAGGAUCUGGCAUUAUUUGAAGAAUGACCAGCUAUGCAAUGAACUUUAUCCUUGUUUCUUUAAAAACAUGUCUUUACUUACAAGUACAGUUAUGAUAGGUUCCCAACUUACAGUCAACUCACUCAACCAAAUAUGUUUGAGAUCUCAAAGAUGGGGUCUCACUCUGUCGCCCAGGCUGGAGUACAGUGGCGCGAUCUCAGCUCACUGCAACCUCCGCCUCCCAUGUUCAAGCCUCAGCCUGCCUCAGCCUCCUGAGUAGCUGGGACUACAGGACUUCAGAUUUGGACUGGACCCACACCACUGGUUCUCAUGGGCCUCCAGCUUGCAGAGAGCAGAUCAUGAGACUCCUCAGUUUCCAUAAUUGCAUGGGCCAAACCCUCAUGAUAAAUCUUUUUCUAUAUAUCUAUAUGUCAUCUAUUGAUUCUGUAGAUGAGUUUUGUUUUUCUUGAACUUUGUAUACAUGGAAUAAUAUAGUUUAUAUUGUCAUUUGUUUGUGAAAUUUAUCCAUGUCUUUCACAUACAAAUAGUUUCUUCAUUAUGACUGCAUAUUAUUGCAUGAAUAUUAAAUAAAUUAUUUAUCCAUUCUCUGUUAGUGGACAUUUGGAUUGUUUCUAGUUUGGGGCCAUUAUGAAUAAAGUUGCUAUGGACAUUCUUGUGUAUAUCUUUAGGUGGACCUGUGUACUAAUUUCUCUUUAGGUGGACCUAUGUACUAAUUUCUCUUUAGGUGGACCUAUGUACUAAUUUCUCUUCCGUAUAUUUUCAGGUCUGAAAUUGCUAUAUCAUAAACUGUUGUAUGUUUUAGCCACAGCAUUUUGAAACAGAGUUUUAAGUAACAGCAUUAACUUCCAAGUCCAGUCAACCCUAGCCUGACUAAAUCUGUGGAUUUAUUAGAGUCAAUAAGCCAAUAAAUAUUGGUUUAACACCUGCUAUGUGUCAGGAAUUGUGAUUGUUAAUUUUAUGUGUCAACUUGACUGGGCUAAGGAAUGCCCAAAUAGCUGGUAAAACAUUAUUUCCAGGUUUGUGAGGGUAUUUCUGGAAGACAUUAUCAUUUGAAUUGGUAAAAAGAGUAAAGAAGAUCACUUUCACUAAUGCAGG
rnacentral:lncRNA from 10 species